GAGUGUUUUAAUAAAGAAAACUGUCAAGGGUAAUCCUUAGACGCAGAUAUAAUUUAUUAAACAAAAUUACUGAUUCCGAGAGCCAGUGAAAAUGUUAUACUCUUAAUUCAGUUGGCUGUACCCAUAACCAGCACUGGUGCUCUAGCUUAAUAGGCUAAGACAUGAAAGGGAAAACCAAUUAAGGGAAUUCGGCAAGUUAGUUCUGUAGCUUCGGCUGAAGGAAUGUCUAUUUUUGUUUUUUCAGAAAUGUAGAUGCAUUAAUAGAUCACAGUAACAAGGACGGCCCGACUGUUUACCAAAAACGUAGCCAAGUGCUAAUCUGAAAAGACGUGUAUACUUGGUGAGACCUGCCCAGUGGUGGUGUCUAAAACUCCUUUUCAAGGGAGCUAAGGUCCAUCAAACGGCGGAGAUAACUAUGAUCUUCUUAAGGUAGCGCAAUACCCUGUCGUAUGAAUUGCGACUUGCAUGAAUGGUUUAACGAGGUUGUCACUGUCCCUAAUUGGAGCCUUCUGAAUAUACUUCGUGGUGAAAAGGCCACGGACGCCUAGUGGGAAGCUGAGACCUUGUGGAACUUUACUGCAACUUGUUGUUGUAAUCUUAAGAGAAAUGCAUAGCAUAAGUAGGAGCGUCGAAGCUGUUAUUUCGGUGACAGUGGAGCAAACAUGUAAUACUACUCAUUUUUUUUAAGAUUGCUUACUCUAUAUGAAGACAGCAGCAGGCGGGCAGUUUGACUGGGGCGGUGCCCUGCCGAAAAAAUAUCGGUAGGACCCAAAGACAAACUCAUCCAGCUUGGAAAUCUGGAGUUGAGUGUGAGGGCAAAAGUUUGUCUAACUGUAUUUUGAACAGCAAGAAAUGCAGAGGAGAAAUCCGGGCCUAGUGAACCCACGUGCUUUUUUAAUAGAAGCCGUGUCUGAUAGAAAAGUUACCCCAAGGAUAAUAAGCUUGUCGCCCCCGAUAGUCCAUAUUGACGGGGCGGUUUGGUGUUUCGCUGUCGGCUCUCCCUAACCUGCGCGUGCAGAAGCGUGCAAGGGUGUCGGAGUUCACGCAUUAAAAGGGAUCGUUAGCUGGGUUAAGAACGUCGUGAGACAGUUUGUAUGAUAUCUACUAGGUGUGUUAUUGUCUGAGUGGAACAAGUUUUUAGUACGAGAGGAACGAAACCUGGGUGCCUCUGGUGAGCAGUUGUCAAUUGGCAGGCUGCAUAGCUACGCACUAAAUGAAUAAGAGCUGAAUGCAUCUAAGCUCGAAGUCAUCCGCAAAACGAGACAAUUAAAGCCGUCAAAGAAGAUGACGUUGAUAGAGUUGUUGUGUAAGAUUCAAGUUUCUGGUGAGGCGAGAAUUUCAGCAUACAACCACUAAAAGCUUCAAUUGUAGUAUUU
rnacentral:rRNA from 1 species